AUUUUAUUUAUUUACUUGACAGAGAGAGAGCAGAGGUGGGAGUAGGGACAGAGGCAGAGGGAAAAGCAGGCUCCCUGCUCAGCAAGGAGCCUAAUGCGGGGCUCGAUUCCAGGACUCUGGACCAUGACCUGAGCCCAAAGCAGACACUUGAUCAACUGAGCCACCCAGGUGCCCCCUCAUGUCUGUUUACAGAAGAGGAACCCGGGGUGAGUGCCAGUGUCUGGGUGGACUGAAGCCCAGAGAGAACCCAGCCACUCUGGGACCCUGGUCGUGUUACAGCCACAUCCCGGGCACAUUUGGAAAACACAUGGGAGGGGCGGUAGGGGUGGUCGAGGUACAUCUGGAGUCCUGGGUCCUCACAUGUCAGCCUUUGUGACACACACUGUUAUGUCAGCAGCCCCUCCUUGACCAGUUCAGAAGGUCUGGGGCCAUCCAUGUGCACCCUCUUGGGGCCUUGACUUGGCAUGGGAGACAUUCAGCCGCCCAGACUAUGGAGAGGAACUUCCAGAAACUGCCCAAGCAUUUGUGAAGGGAUGUGGAAGCUGCCCAUGGUGGGGCCUGGCUCUCCCCAGAUUUGCUGGGGACAUUUGUCACGGAGCCGUCAUGGCUGGAGAGGAGCCAGGCUGGAGCACACAUGCUUGUCCUGGUUCUCCAGGACACUGUCUUUCCAGUUCCGAUGUGCAGCGAUCUUCGGCUGGGACUGGCAGAAGGCUGUGCUACCGACAUGCACUCGGCAAUGCUUCUGUGCAAGUGAAGGAGCCAGGAAGUGGGGCAGUGAGGCUGGGGUCAAGGCCCAGGGCACCCCAGGAGCAUUUCCCCAGGCCUCUGGUUUGCUCUGCAGUUCACAGACCUUCUAUAGGGUUCAGCCUCAUGAUCAGCAUUGCCUCAUCCCCUUCCAGGGUGGGGACAGUGAGGGGUGCCGUCAGCCAAGCCUUGGUGGGCGGCACAUGCCAGGGGCUGUGCUGGGCCUCCCCCGUGCUGUGGGGGACGUGGACCCAAGGUUUCAGGAGCCUUGGCUUCCUUGUGACUCUGUGGCCAGCCAGUGGCCGGAGGGUACCUCAAUACGGCUCCUGGGGGCAAGAGUGUGUGUCCCUGGUGGAGGCACUUGACCGUGUGAGCCCAGGGCUGCUGUCCUGCCUCUGUGGCUCCUCUGUAAGGCGGGGACAACUGUGCCCCAAAGUGAUCCCUGAACUCUCGGUGCUUCGAACAGCUGGGGCUGCUGGGGGCGUGAGGCAGGGCGGCACCCUGUGUCUUGGCCACGGGGAGCCCACCCACAGGCUGCUAUGGCCACUCUGUGAAGCGCUCCCACGUGCUGUGGUGCCCAGUAGGGCUCCCUGGGGACUAGCUUUCCUCUUUGGUCUUCAUGGGAGGGCAUGCAGGAGGGGCUGGGAGGCAGCAGAGGAUGGCUCCUGCCCCUCCCACUCUCUGGGCCUCUCCCCUCCCUCUCUGACUCUUUCUGUAUCUACCCACCUCCCCACCAUCUCAGGAUGGGGGUGGCCUGGGCGCCGGCUGCCCGUGGGCUCCAUGCUCAUGACUGACAGGGACCCAGGACCAGGUCAACCAGAUUUUGUUUCCUUCUCAUCAAGGUCAGCCAGCGCUGGGGGCCUCAAGUGGACCCAUGCGAAUCCAAGGUGGACAAGUGCUGAAAGGGAACAGCAGGUCCUCUGGGCCUCUUGGGGGAGGACUGUCAGGGAUGCGAUCCCUGGGCUGGCCAGGGACACCCGAUCUCCUCCCAGGGCUGUAGGGCUGGCAUGGGAGCUGCAGGGUUGGGAAGGGACCGGAACCCAGGCAGAGAGCACAUGGGGGUGA
rnacentral:lncRNA from 12 species